AUGGGGAGCUCGGGGCCGGAGCCCUCAGGCCCCAAGGCUGGGCACACGGAAGAGCCAGGUCUGGCAGCACGGAGACCUGGCACCGUCCCGCCUCGUCCUCGCGGGGACGAGGCCCCGUGUUUGCUUUGGGGGUGCGGAGGGGAGGCUUCGGCCCUUCCGCCAGCGCUGGCCGGGGCGGCUGCAGCCCCGCGGCCCUGGCUCCCCGCACGACCUGGCGGGAGCAGAUCUGCUCCGCUGCCGGCCCCGGCCCCGCGCCUGGACCGGCCCCAGGCCAGCAAAUCCCCCCGCAUCCCGCCCCGCAGCGCCGGCAAGGGGGAACCUCGUCCCCCGCCGCACGGGCUGUCUCGGAGGCACGCGGCGAUGCUAAGCCUGGAGGAGCGGGAUACAGAGGCAGCAAAGGCCAUUUUUGGGCCCCCACGGCUUUUCCAGGAACGCGCCGGGCAGUGUUUCCGUGAUCAAGAAUCACAUCGAAACAGCCAAAACCGAAGCCCAGCCGCCCGCCCGGCCCUUCCCAGCUGGGCCCCCGCGCAGCUGCGCCGCCGCCGCCGGGGCGUCCCCGGGCUAAAUUUACCCGGCGCUGGCCCAAACGCCCAAUCGGGGCCCCGCACGCGCGGCCCCCGGCGCCCCGAGAAAGGGAAGCGAAACCCGCUCCAGCGGGCGCUGACGUGGGCCAGAGCGGGCGCGCAGCGGGGCCACGGGGCCGCCGGCCCCCUCGCCCUCCUGAGCCGCCCCAGGCCCCUCGGCCGCCGGCCCCGCCGCCUCGGGGCCCCCCAGCAGCCCCCCGCCCCAGCUCCGGCGGCGGCGACCCGCUUUCGCCCCUUUUCGCAGCAAAACCGCGGCGAGCGCCUCCCCGAGCAGCGGGGUCGUUCGGCGCCGCUCGACCUGCAACAUAACGGACGGGGCAGGAUCAAGAGUCCCAAAAUACGGGGCAGAGCCAAACCCCCUGAAUCUUGGAAAAUAAAUACAGGUUGUGGCCAUUCCUGCCUUAAAACUCCCCAUGAACAGCUUGGGGUGGAAGCGCCAGCGGGAGGCUGA
rnacentral:lncRNA from 1 species